CGAGCUGCUACGGCAGUGAAGUCAUUGAUGCCAUGCUUCCAGGAAAAGCCUCUAAGCUUCAGAUAGUCAGGAAUCGUACCCCAAACCGACACAGGUGGUCGGGUAGAGAAUACCAAGGCGCUUGAGAGAACUCGGGUGAAGGAACUAGGCAAAAUGGUACCGUAACUUCGGGAGAAGGUACGCUCUUGAUGGUGAAGUCCCUUGCGGAUGGAGCUGACGAGAGUCGCAGAUACCAGGUGGCUGCAACUGUUUAUUAAAAACACAGCACUGUGCAAAAUCGCAAGAUGACGUAUACGGUGUGACGCCUGCCCGGUGCCGGAAGGUUAAUUGAUGGGGUUAGCGCAAGCGAAGCUCUUGAUCGAAGCCCCGGUAAACGGCGGCCGUAACUAUAACGGUCCUAAGGUAGCGAAAUUCCUUGUCGGGUAAGUUCCGACCUGCACGAAUGGCGUAAUGAUGGCCACGCUGUCUCCACCCGAGACUCAGUGAAAUUGAAAUCGCUGUGAAGAUGCAGUGUACCCGCGGCUAGACGGAAAGACCCCGUGAACCUUUACUACAGCUUGGCACUGAACAUUGAACCUACAUGUGUAGGAUAGGUGGGAGGCUAUGAAGACGUGACGCUAGUUGCGUUGGAGCCGUCCUUGAAAUACCACCCUUGUAUGUUUGAUGUUCUAACUUAGACCCGUUAUCCGGGUUGAGGACAGUGCCUGGUGGGUAGUUUGACUGGGGCGGUCUCCUCCCAAAGAGUAACGGAGGAGCACGAAGGUGGGCUAAUCACGGUUGGACAUCGUGAGGUUAGUGCAAUGGCAUAAGCCCGCUUAACUGCGAGAAUGACGGUUCGAGCAGGUGCGAAAGCAGGUCAUAGUGAUCCGGUGGUUCUGUAUGGAAGGGCCAUCGCUCAACGGAUAAAAGGUACUCCGGGGAUAACAGGCUGAUACCGCCCAAGAGUUCAUAUCGACGGCGGUGUUUGGCACCUCGAUGUCGGCUCAUCACAUCCUGGGGCUGAAGUCGGUCCCAAGGGUAUGGCUGUUCGCCAUUUAAAGUGGUACGCGAGCUGGGUUUAGAACGUCGUGAGACAGUUCGGUCCCUAUCUGCCGUGGGCGUUGGAAGAUUGAAGGGGGCUGCUCCUAGUACGAGAGGACCGGAGUGGACGAACCUCUGGUGUUCGGGUUGUGUCGCCAGACGCAUUGCCCGGUAGCUAAGUUCGGAAUUGAUAAGCGCUGAAAGCAUCUAAGCGCGAAGCGAGCCCUGAGAUGAGUCUUCCCUGAUACUUUAAGUAUCCUAAAGGGUUGUUCGAGACUAGAACGUUGAUAGGCAGGGUGUGUAAGCGUUGUGAGGCGUUGAGCUAACCUGUACUAAUUGCCCGUGAGGCUUAACCAU
rnacentral:rRNA from 1 species